UACGGAGGGGGCUAGCGUUGUUCGGAAUUACUGGGCGUAAAGCGCACGUAGGCGGCUUUGUAAGUCAGAGGUGAAAGCCUGGAGCUCAACUCCAGAAUUGCCUUUGAGACUGCAUCGCUUGAAUCCAGGAGAGGUGAGUGGAAUUCCGAGUGUAGAGGUGAAAUUCGUAGAUAUUCGGAAGAACACCAGUGGCGAAGGCGGCUCACUGGACUGGUAUUGACGCUGAGGUGCGAAAGCGUGGGGAGCAAACAGG
rnacentral:rRNA from 1 species